rnacentral:rRNA from 1 species
UUGAUCUCAAAUCAGGUAGGACUACCCGCUGAACUUAAGCAUAUCAAUAAGCGGAGGAAAAGAAACUAACAAGGAUUCCCCUAGUAACUGCGAGUGAAGCGGGAAGAGCUCAAAUUUAAAAUCUGGCGUGCCUCUGGCCGUCCGAGUUGUAGUCUGG